CGCUUUUAAAAAUUAUUAAUAAAGAUUUAUAUGUAAAUUGGAGGACCUAUAUGUAAAUAUAGAAAUUACAAGGACUAAACUGUUAAGUUGCAAAAAAAAGAAAAAAAAAGGGGAAAACCGAAAAUUCGGUAUUAUCCCACCGCCUCCCACGCACUCUGUUUCUUCCAGAAACAGAGAGAGCGGUGGGGCGUGAGGAGAAGAAGGAGAGUGGUAGAAGAAGAGAGGAAGAAGAGGGAGAAGAGAAGAAGAAGAAGAAGAAGAAGAAGAAGAGGGAAAAGAAGAGAGGAGGAAGAAGAGGGAGUAGAGAAGAAGAAGAAGGAGAAGAAGAAGAAGAGGAGGUGGCUGCAGCGAGGGCUGCAGCGAGAAGCUGUGGGGCGUGGGGAGAAGAAGAGAGGAAGAAGAGGGAGAAGAGAAGAAGAAGAAGAAGAAGAAGAAGAGAAGAGGAUAGCUGCGGCAAGGCUGCAGCGAGGAGGUGUGUGGGGUUGGGGAGGAAAAAGGGAAGAGGAGAAGAAGAGGGAAAAGAGAGGGAAGAGGGAGAGGAGCGAGAGGUGGCAGCAGCUAGGGCUGCAGCACCUCUGUUUCCUGCAGGUGGAAACAGAGGAGAGGUGUGGGGCGUUCGAAGAGGAGAAGAAGAAGAAGAGGAAGAGAAGAGGAAGAGGAAGCAGGGGAAGAGGUUGUGAUACCUCUGUUUCCUGCAGAGGAAACAGAGGAGAGGGUGUGGGUGACGUCGGGGAGAAGAAGGGGAGGAAGGAGAAGAAGAGAAGAAGAAGAAAGGAAGGAAAAGGAAGAGGAGAAGGGAAGAAAGUAGCUGCGGCUGCGGUUGUGGCAGCUGCAGCUGUGGCAGGGAAAGAAGAAGAGAAAGGAAGAAGGGGAGGAGAGGAAGAAGAGUAGGGGCUGCGGCUGCGGCGAUGGCAGCUGCAGUUGGAAGAGAAGAAGGAGAGGAAGAUGAGCAGGGGAGGAAGAAAAGGCUGUGGCCGUGGCUGAGGCUGCGACUGCAGCAUGCAGCUGGGAAAGAAGAGAAGGAAAGGAAGAAGAAGAGAAAGGAAGAAGGGAAGGAGAGGAAGAAGAGAAGGGGCUGCGGCUGCGGCGAUGGCAGCUGCAGUUGGAAGAGAAGAAGGAGAGGAAGAUGAGCAGGGGAGGAAGAAAAGGCUGUGGCCGUGGCUGAGGCUGCGACUGCAGCAUGUAGCUGGGAAAGAAGAGAAGGAAAGGAAGAAGAAGAGAAAGGAAGAAGGGAAGGAGAGGAAGAAGAGAAGGGGCUACGGCUGCGGCGAUGGCAGCUGCAGUUGGAAGAGAAGAAGGAGAGGAAGAUGAGCAGGGGAGGAAGAAGAGGCUGCGAGUGUGGUGGCUGCGGCCGUGGCUGCGACUCCGGCUGCGGCUGCAACGUUGGCUGCGGUAGCUGCGGCAGCGGUGGUGGCUGCAGUAGCUGCUUUUGGGAAAGAGAAAGAGUAGGAACGAGAGAAGGGAAGAAGGAAGUAGUGCAGUGGAAGGGGGCUGCGGUUGUGACCGCAGUUGCGGUCGUGGCUGCGAUUGUGGCAGCGGCAGCGGCGGCGGCUGUGGCAGCUGCGUUUGGGAAAGAAAAAAAGAAGGAAUGAGAGUAAGAGAGAGCAGGUGACUGUGCCUCGAUGUUCGACACGUGAUGUAGUUGCGAAGAAAGGAAGAAAACGGGAGCACAAAACGAAACAGAGAGAGGACACGGAGAAAAAGUAGAAGGAUUUGGGCUGGCACCUUCUUUGGAUCUUCGGAUCGAAAUCUUUGAAAGGUCAGCUUGUCACUCUUCGAGAUGUUUGAUUUGGGCUGAGGCAGUGGAUAGCUAUUCAGAAUAAUGGGCAAGUCUGGUUGGUUAUUACAAUAUUGUUGUAUAAGUAUGUCUUGUAUAUAAUGAAAUGUUGUCGAUGAACCGAAAUAGAUAUACUGUGUCCAAGUGUUAGGAGAUCUCUCUUAUUUGGAAUUUCAGAAUGUUAAGUCUAAUUUAUGGUGAUAUGAACUUGUGGUGAAUAGUUGGAGUUCUGAUUAUAUAAUUUAUUUAGCUUGUGGAUUUAUAAAUGUUGUUCAUGUUUGUCAAGUUGGCUUGGGUUGCCAUAAAUGUGAAUUAUCGAGUGAUGUGAUAUAUGAUUAUAAACUGCACAGGUUUUAUGGAUGUGAAUAUGAAUAGAAUGUUUUCAGUGUCCUCAAACGUUAGUUUGGAUCCUGGAUUAGUCUGUGACGAAAAUUUAUUUAAAAAUCAUGGAUAUUUUGAGGGGCGUGACAGAGGUGGUAUCAGAGCAUUGUUUGAGGAUUACUGAAAUAUUUGAUAUGUUGACGUGCAAAAUAUAUUGAGGUCUAAUGAAACUAUAGUGAUUGGUGAAAAUUUUCUUUGAUGUAUUUUAGGAAUCUGGGAUGAUGAGGACAUUUGGUCCCCCUAUUUCAUUGUUUCUGAUUAAUUAAGGGGAAUGAAAGGAUUGAUUGGGGAUAUUGAAUCAGAGUGGCGCAGCGGAAGCAUGGUGGACCUAAUUUCAUUGGUGGUAGAAAAAUGAAUGAUGCAAAUAGAGAAGAUAUUUGAUGUACAAAAUUGUUUUGAUGAUCAAAAGAUUUCUUUUGCCACCUUAUAUUGGAAGUAGAGGCUGAUUAUUAUUGGCAACAAUGAAAAGAAUUUUUGGAGAUCAGUGACAAGAAUGAUAAGGACAAGUUUACCAAUAAGAAUAUGAUUGGAAAUGAAUCAGAAAGUAAUGACAAGAGGAUCAAGACAUUUGGAUUUGAAAAGGAAAGUCACCACCAAAGACUUAAUCAUGUGUGAAUUACAAGUUAAAUUAUGAAACAAGUUUGUGUUUUCGGGUGAUUGGAGUCUAUUUUGCUUGUAGAAAGUUGGAUCAUAAAAUAAAAGUUUGCCCUUUGAACAAGAAGAAAGAGUCACUGCCUCCUAAAUCAUCAGCCCAUGUAAGAGUGUAUGCUAUCACUGAAUAUGAUUCUGAAACUUCUGAAUUAGUGGUCAAAGGUAUUAUGCAUGUUUAUGAAAGAAUGUAAAUAUUUGUUCGACCAUGGGUCCAAUCUACGAUUUGAUUCGUAAUAUUUUGCUUAUCACUUGAGUAUUCAACCUAGACCACUACAUUAUGUGCUAUAAGUAAAUACGAUCAUUGGAGAUUCUUUGAUAACGAAGUUGAAUCUGGUCCUCUUGUCUGAUUCUUAUUGGAGAACUUGAACUUUUGCUGAUUUAGUUCUCCUAGAGAUUUGGAGUUUUGAUAUUAUACUUGGUAUGGAUUGGCUAUCUUCCUAACAUACCAGUAUGGAUUGGUAUAUAACAAAUGAUCACUUUUUGCAUAUUUGAUCAGCCGAUCUUUUAUUUUGAGAGUAUUGGACAUUAUUUAUCUCCUUGCCUAAUGUAUCCCAGGAUGACUUGUUUGGAUUACCUCCAAAUGUGAUUUUGCUUUUGAUUUGGUCCUUGGGACAAUCCUAAAAUCUAAGCCUCUCUACAGAAAGAUAUCAUUUGAGUAAGUGGAAUUAGAAAAGCAACUACAAGGAUUAUUAAAUGAGGAUUUUAUUUGGCUUAAUAUUUCAUCAUGGGGUGCUCCGGUGUUAGUUAAAAGAUGGAUGGAACAUUGAGGCUUUGUAUUGAUUAUAGAUAGUUGAAUUAGGUGACCAUAAAAAAAAACGAGUAUUUUCUAAAGUGACCACUUGUUUGAUUAACUGCAGGGUGCAUAGGUAUUUUAAAAGAUUGUUUGAAGGUCGGGUUACCAUCUAUUGAGGAUCAAGGAGGAGAAUAUUUCGGUCACUCUUGGAUAAUUAUGUAAUUGUAUUGUAUUGAUGAAACUAUUUAAGAGUAGGAGGAGGAAAUAAAGAUAUCAUAAUCCUCAUCUUUUCAUCGAUUGAGCUAUGAUCAAUUUAGAGGACUAAAUUUUCUUUUAAGGGGGGGGAGAGUGUAAUAUCCCUCGCUUUUAAAAAUUAUUAAUAAAGAUUUAUAUGUAAAUUGGAGGACCUAUAUGUAAAUAUAGAAAUUACAAGGACUAAACUGUUAAGUUGCAAAAAAAAGAAAAAAAAAGGGGAAAACCGAAAAUUCGGUAUUAUCCCACCGCCUCCCACGCACUCUGUUUCUUCCAGAAACAGAGAGAGCGGUGGGGCGUGAGGAGAAGAAGGAGAGUGGUAGAAGAAGAGAGGAAGAAGAGGGAGAAGAGAAGAAGAAGAAGAAGAAGAAGAAGAAGAGGGAAAAGAAGAGAGGAGGAAGAAGAGGGAGUAGAGAAGAAGAAGAAGGAGAAGAAGAAGAAGAGGAGGUGGCUGCAGCGAGGGCUGCAGCGAGAAGCUGUGGGGCGUGGGGAGAAGAAGAGAGGAAGAAGAGGGAGAAGAGAAGAAGAAGAAGAAGAAGAAGAAGAAGAGAAGAGGAUAGCUGCGGCAAGGCUGCAGCGAGGAGGUGUGUGGGGUUGGGGAGGAAAAAGGGAAGAGGAGAAGAAGAGGGAAAAGAGAGGGAAGAGGGAGAGGAGCGAGAGGUGGCAGCAGCUAGGGCUGCAGCACCUCUGUUUCCUGCAGGUGGAAACAGAGGAGAGGUGUGGGGCGUUCGAAGAGGAGAAGAAGAAGAAGAGGAAGAGAAGAGGAAGAGGAAGCAGGGGAAGAGGUUGUGAUACCUCUGUUUCCUGCAGAGGAAACAGAGGAGAGGGUGUGGGUGACGUCGGGGAGAAGAAGGGGAGGAAGGAGAAGAAGAGAAGAAGAAGAAAGGAAGGAAAAGGAAGAGGAGAAGGGAAGAAAGUAGCUGCGGCUGCGGUUGUGGCAGCUGCAGCUGUGGCAGGGAAAGAAGAAGAGAAAGGAAGAAGGGGAGGAGAGGAAGAAGAGUAGGGGCUGCGGCUGCGGCGAUGGCAGCUGCAGUUGGAAGAGAAGAAGGAGAGGAAGAUGAGCAGGGGAGGAAGAAAAGGCUGUGGCCGUGGCUGAGGCUGCGACUGCAGCAUGCAGCUGGGAAAGAAGAGAAGGAAAGGAAGAAGAAGAGAAAGGAAGAAGGGAAGGAGAGGAAGAAGAGAAGGGGCUGCGGCUGCGGCGAUGGCAGCUGCAGUUGGAAGAGAAGAAGGAGAGGAAGAUGAGCAGGGGAGGAAGAAAAGGCUGUGGCCGUGGCUGAGGCUGCGACUGCAGCAUGUAGCUGGGAAAGAAGAGAAGGAAAGGAAGAAGAAGAGAAAGGAAGAAGGGAAGGAGAGGAAGAAGAGAAGGGGCUACGGCUGCGGCGAUGGCAGCUGCAGUUGGAAGAGAAGAAGGAGAGGAAGAUGAGCAGGGGAGGAAGAAGAGGCUGCGAGUGUGGUGGCUGCGGCCGUGGCUGCGACUCCGGCUGCGGCUGCAACGUUGGCUGCGGUAGCUGCGGCAGCGGUGGUGGCUGCAGUAGCUGCUUUUGGGAAAGAGAAAGAGUAGGAACGAGAGAAGGGAAGAAGGAAGUAGUGCAGUGGAAGGGGGCUGCGGUUGUGACCGCAGUUGCGGUCGUGGCUGCGAUUGUGGCAGCGGCAGCGGCGGCGGCUGUGGCAGCUGCGUUUGGGAAAGAAAAAAAGAAGGAAUGAGAGUAAGAGAGAGCAGGUGACUGUGCCUCGAUGUUCGACACGUGAUGUAGUUGCGAAGAAAGGAAGAAAACGGGAGCACAAAACGAAACAGAGAGAGGACACGGAGAAAAAGUAGAAGGAUUUGGGCUGGCACCUUCUUUGGAUCUUCGGAUCGAAAUCUUUGAAAGGUCAGCUUGUCACUCUUCGAGAUGUUUGAUUUGGGCUGAGGCAGUGGAUAGCUAUUCAGAAUAAUGGGCAAGUCUGGUUGGUUAUUACAAUAUUGUUGUAUAAGUAUGUCUUGUAUAUAAUGAAAUGUUGUCGAUGAACCGAAAUAGAUAUACUGUGUCCAAGUGUUAGGAGAUCUCUCUUAUUUGGAAUUUCAGAAUGUUAAGUCUAAUUUAUGGUGAUAUGAACUUGUGGUGAAUAGUUGGAGUUCUGAUUAUAUAAUUUAUUUAGCUUGUGGAUUUAUAAA